ensembl:lncRNA
GGAGUCAUUCUACUAUUCUUGUUGUUUUUGUGUAUGUUUGAAAUUUUCUUAAAAUAGAAAGCUAAAAAUAGAAAUAACAAAUUUUAAUAAGAGGAGGGACAUCUCAACUUGUUUUUAUAUAGGUGAACAAUAGAAUAUUUAAAAUCUUUCAAAUUUAGGUUCACAAAAAUGCCUAAUAAAUGAUUUUUUGUUCAUUAAAUUAAAUAGCAAAUUUUAAAGAUGUACAUAUUGUAAGAAGAGCAUAACAAAACGGGUUAGAAGAAAACACUGGUGCAGAGAAUUCUCAAAGAAAAUAAUAUCAGAACUCCACAACAGCAAUGGUGAUGGUCAUCAUGACUUUUUCCUCUGACUACUCUAUUUUCCUGGUCAAAUGAAUGGCACUUUAUUUUCUAAUAACAAAAUACUAAGGAAGAAAGAUGAGAAGGGAAAGAAGUUUGAAAGCAGAGUUAUCAACAGAGAAAAUUAGCUGAGGGUGACAGAAAAGAGAAGAGCAGGAAACUAAAUCUCCCUAAAGAACCAGUAAUCAGAAUUAAAGAUCACAGAGGACCUUUAGAUCAAGAUGUAUGGCUUCCAAGAGAGCUUCUCUGGCCUAAAAUCAAGGUGAAGACCUGGAGUUUAACAAGUUCUUCUUUGUUGCUUGCUGGAGGCAUUAUCUUGCCAACCUGGGAGACAGCCAAGUUGGAAUUGCCAGGAACAAAAUAGAAACCUAGUGGUUGCUGAAACUGGGGAGGUUGCUCUCUUAUCUGUUGUGCAGGUAUUCCCAGGGUCUCAGCUUGCUGGGAACACUGGCUGACAUCUUCCAUUUGCAGUUGUUAGUUUCUUAAAGGAGUAAAAGUAAACAUUCAACUGUCCAAAUCUUGGUUAGUUGUCCACUUUAUUGCUUGGAUGUUUCUUUGGUGUUGGUUUAAGGUCAUGGUUUGCUUUUUGCUUCAUUUCAUUUUUAAAUGGUCAUUAAUUCUUUAGGUCACCUGGAAAAAAUUAAAAUCAAACUUUUUCAAUGACAAAGAGUCAAAAAAUAGGAAAUCAAGUUAUCUGUUGUGCAUUUAAUUCAAUAAUCAAAAUUUCAAAAGCUUUAAGCAAAAUGUAUAUACCUUGUACAGAUCUGUAAACUAUUUAUUAAUGUAAUGGUAACUGCUAAAUUUUUAAUAAUGUUUACAAAUCAGAAAGGCUGGUAUAUAAGAGCAAAAACUAUGAAAUUAUAUAAGAUGAAAUUACCAUAAUGAGGCUUUGUCAAACAUAUACCACUGUAACAUCAAUAACUCUUCCUAAUCAAAUAUUUUAAUGGCUACAACAUAUACCACAAUUAUUUAACCACUUCCCUAACACCAGACAGAUUAUAUGUAGGAGAAAUUAUUUUUCCCUCAAAUUUUCAUUUUUUUUUUGCAAAUACCUAGAAAUAAUAUUUAGAAAUAACUGAUUCAGAUGAUGACCAUGGAAAGUUCAAGCUACUCCGUAAAAGGCUACAACCACUUUUAUUGGUGUGAUAUAUACCUCUAAGUCAGCUCCUACAAACCUGAACAGGGAGCUUAUUUCUAGGAUAAAUUGUUCCUGCUUGUUACCCAGUGACAAAAUAAAAUGUCUUCAGCAUAGCA